GGGCCCGCACAAGCGGUGGAGUAUGUGGUUUAAUUCGAAGCAACGCGCAGAACCUUACCUUCCCUUGACAUCCCGGGACAAUCUCAGAGAUGAGACUUUCUCUUCGGAGACUCGGUGACAGAUGCUGCAUGGCUGUCGUCAGCUCGUGUUGUGAAAUGUUCGGUUAAGUCCGGCAACGAGCGCAACCCCUGUCCUUAGUUACCAUCAUUAAGUUGGGGACUCUAGGGAGACUGCCGGUGUUAAACCGGAGGAAGGCGGGGAUGACGUCAAGUCCUCAUGGCUCUUACGGGAAGGGCUACACACGUACUACAAUGGUAGAAACAAAGGGUUGCGAAACCGCGAGGUCAAGCUAAUCCCUAAAACACUAUCUCAGUUCGGAUUGGGGUCUGCAACUCGACCCCAUGAAGUCGGAAUCGCUAGUAAUCGCGUAAC
rnacentral:rRNA from 1 species